rnacentral:misc_RNA from 1 species
CUGAAACGAAAUUAACCAUAAAAUCACAGCAGCAACAACAGAUUUAUCGCUAUUGGUUCCAAAGCAAAACAGAAAAUGAUGCUACAGUAUUACACACAUAAGAUAGAGAAAGACUAGCCAGUGUAGACGUGGACUCCAAUUGCAAUUAGGAAGAUAGUGAUGAGACCAAAAUAGAUAAUAGCAUGAACAACAAUAGAAGCGCCACUUGUCUGCAUGUUCCCAAACUCAACCACCCUAUUCUUUCCAGGUAUCUGAAACAACAGCCCUGGCGUUAACAGCACGAACAGCACCACUGCUAUUAGCACUGGCCCCCAAUCUGCCAUCCCCUUUUCCUUUCGAAACAGAGCCUACCGAUGAAUACUAAACAAAGAUCUAGCCAAUGGAACGAAACAGCUAGCUGACUCUUCGACAACUGCAUUCACAUGGAUGCUUCUCGAGAGUCGUGAACUGAAAUGGAUUG